rnacentral:lncRNA from 1 species
GGAAAUAACAACAGCCCCAAGCCUUUAUGGAGUAUGGGUGCCAUGAAGUGGUGCAGUUUUUGGUUCCAUUUGCAGGUUCAGAAGCUGAGGCUCAGACAGUUAGUAACUCACCCAAGGUCACUCAGUCUAUCAGAGUCAGGGCUGGGAUUCAAAGCCAGGCCAUGGGACCUGGACCUGGCAAUUCCUGCGCUAGGUAUUCACUCAUUAGUUCAUUCGGAACCAACUUGUUGGGGCUGGUCCAGUAGGAGGGCACAGCCUCUGCCUUUGUUUUCAUGUGAGUCCUUCCCUUGGGGCCCUUUCUUUCUCUGGGAGUUCUGGCAAUCUAGGGACCAGAGAGAGGCUCCUCCAGUUAGAGAACUGCCAGCUGACAGCACUUCCUGCCCUCCUAAGCACUGUCCACUGUCUGAAACCUCCUUUGCCCCCCGUAACCUCCUGCCUUCCUCGUGUUUCCUCACUUCUAUCAGUCUGCCUCUCAGAAGGCCCCAGAGCCUCUUCCAAGGGACCAGAUACUCCCUGGUGUUCAAGGUCUACUGGCUGGGGGAUCGUCAAUGUCACAUACCCGGAUUCUGUGUCCUGAAGGCUUCACCAGAGGAGAUGAGAGCAGUUACCUGCCUAGGGGAGCCGGCAGUUCUAGAAGAAACCAGCAGAUGGCGAUAGCGGCUCCCACGUCUCGGGUCCAUAGAAGCAGCUGGAUUCCCCCACUUGAUUUGCACUCUCUGGUUCUGGCUCCCUUGAGAGUUAGGGUGGGGAGAGUUCGGACAUCACCCGAGGCAGAAGGAGCUGCCAAACAUAACUUGGAAUGGAUAAUUAUUGUAAAAUAUUUGUUAAUUAACUCUGUGCUAAAACCCUGUUUGAAACUUGUUUGAAACUUGUCCCUGUUUGAAAACUCUGGGUGGGCCUUCUCCCUCUUGUGGGGCACCCUGCUCCCAGAGAGAUUAGAAACUAGCCUUAAAGUAUGUUUAUCUAAGUAUCCCAUACCUAAUGCUGCUGUACCACACCCUUGCUACAUCCCCUAUGAUCGAAACUCGAGCUACCCUCGCCACCUAAUGUUGCUUUUUCAAGCGCUCGCCACAUUCUGCUGUGUAACUGCAACUUAAACUACCCUGUAAAAGGUAUAAAAAGGAGAAACUGCCUUAAAUCGUGGUCAGCCUAGAAGGACU